AAUAAGACAUGAACGAAGAGGAAAAUGGCAGACUUGGUUCACUUAGCUGUAAUCCUGGUGCAGCUGCAAAGUUAAAAAGGUUCAGCUUGGUUUUUGUUUUUACGCAGAGCGCAUCGGAUCCUUCAAUCACCGAGGCCAAUUUUCUUCUUCUCUUCCACACACACACACACACACACAAACACACACACAUAAGAUAUGGCACGUGGUCCGGUGACGACACACGCCCUCCUCCUGGUCCGGGUCCAGCCUGCUGCUCUCCUCUCUGUUGAACCAGGCAAACUGCAGUUGUUUCAUGGAUUUGUCAACAAUGGGACAUCAGCAGUGCUGCUUCCCGCUGAUUUCUGUGUGCGUCCGUCAUAGACCAUUCAUCCGUGGCAGGGGGAGGAGGCGGAUAGAGGUGUGUAUGUGUGUGUGUGUGCGUGGAAGAGAAGAAGAAAAUUGGCCUCGGUGAUUGAAGGAUCCGAUGCGCUCUGCGUAAAAACAAAAACCAAGCUGAACCUUUUUAACUUUGCAGCUGCACCAGGAUUACAGCUAAGUGAACCAAGUCUGCCAUUUUCCUCUUCGUUCAUGUCUUAUUGUGAGAUUAUGCACGAAAAUGUAGUUUUAAAAUGUAUAUUUUACCCUUUUUCUUUCUUUUUUUUGCACGCGCGCCUCAACGUCCUCAGCGUGUUGCUCCACGCAGCGAACGCAGAAAAAAACACAUUAAAUCUGUUUAUUCCCGCAGGAUCAGCUGAAGGUGGGGAGCAGCAGCAGCAGCAGCAGCAGGAUGAGGAGAAAUAAAGAAUUUCCUUAAAGAGUUGAGAAAAGGUGCCGACGACUCCGAUUAUUGUUUGAUUUUUACGCAUAAAAACCAGAAAGCGCGCGCGCUUGGAGGCGCGCGCUGCGCUCCGACAAGAUUUGCAGCCAACAUUUGAACCGUGGAAGCGCUUCUUUCAUGUGCUGACACCCGGGCUAACAGAGGGCCUCAUUAAUGAUGCGCGUUGGGUUCAGAGGAGGGAAACGCGGCUCCCGGUGCACCGUGUUAAUCUCUCGGUGACCUGAGAGCUCCAGGAGGUCCGUUAAUGUGGACUGGAGUCCUGCUCCGCCCCGCCGAGCCAAGAGAUUCUGGGGAUUGGACAACCUCCUUUCUUCCGCCUCUAUCUGUGUGUUUGUGAACAGACAGGUGCAACCG